GAUGAACGCUGGCGGCGUGCCUAAUACAUGCAAGUCGAGCGAACGGACGAGAAGCUUGCUUUUCCGAUGUUAGCGGCGGACGGGUGAGUAACACGUGGAUAACCUACCUAUAAGACUGGGAUAACUUCGGGAAACCGGAGCUAAUACCGGAUAAUAUUUUGAACCGCAUGGUUCAAAAGUGAAAGACGGUCUUGCUGUCACUUAUAGAUGGAUCCGCGCUGCAUUAGCUAGUUGGUAAGGUAACGGCUUACCAAGGCAACGAUGCAUAGCCGACCUGAGAGGGUGAUCGGCCACACUGGAACUGAGACACGGUCCAGACUCCUACGGGAGGCAGCAGUAGGGAAUCUUCCGCAAUGGGCGAAAGCCUGACGGAGCAACGCCGCGUGAGUGAGGAAGGUCUUCGGAUCGUAAAACUCUGUUAUUAGGGAAGAACAUAUGUGUAAGUAACUGUGCACAUCUUGACGGUACCUAAGCAGAAAGCCACGGCUAACUACGU
rnacentral:rRNA from 1 species